AAAAUAUCAGACUUCCGACAAAAUAAAAGUCAGCUUUGCGAGAUUAUUUUGGUGGAAAUAAGCUUCCACACAGAUCAGUGGUCCUUCUGUACAGGUUUUUAACAUUUGAUUUCUUCAGCCCUAUAUGAUUAGUUUUGGGUAUAAAGAAGAAACUGUAUUUUUUUAAUUUAUUUUAGGAAUAACUUGAUCCAGGAAUGCGUUCUGCAGUCAACGUCCAGGUCACGUGACGCCUGUAUUUAUUUAGUUGAUUAAACAUUUCAAGACAUAAAAAAGUAUUGCAGUCACAUUGAUUAAAAACAACAAAAUAUACAUCAAAUAUAAAUUAGGAUUGAUGCAAAACAACCGUCCUCAGUAGUUAACAAGAUGAAUUUCAUAACAUCAUUAUGCGUGUGAAUGUUGUAGUGUAUCCCAGAAUGCACUUCAAGGACUUAAAAUUCUCUGAGCUUCUGUCUUCUAACCGCUUGUAAGAUUUACUGUUCAAUAAUACAAUCAGUCGUAGUUUACAUAUUAUAACGUGAUGAAUGUUGGGCCUAGUUAGCCUAUGUGUUGCUGGUAAUUAUCUUUUUAUAUUCAUCAUCAUAUUUCUGUUUCAGUCGUAGACUAUUAACUCAGUCCUGCUUCGCCGCGAGGUGGCGCUCGUGCGCAGACUCAGAUUGACAGUCACGUGCUGUUGGGUUUUUAAAUCAAGUGUCUGUUUUCUUAGUUUAAGUUCAUACAUCUUUAGUGGGUUAUGUGCAUGGCUUUUUUUAAUUAAAAGGCACAUUUAGGAGAAUGUGAAUACUUGAUGAACUGGUUUGUGCUGGUGGUAUUUUAAAGUGCAGCUUUUUCCCAUUAAAACAAGUUAAACGUUUCGAGUUUGCUGUAUAAAACAUGGUUCUCAGGUUUUUUUGAACGUGUAUGUUAAGAUAAAGCUUUCCUCUA